rnacentral:ncRNA from 1 species
GUGUUGUAUGAAAGGAGAGAAGGUUAGCACUCCCCUUUGACAAGGAUGGAAGAGGCUCUCAGGCCUGACAACACGCAUAUGGUUAAAGUAAGCCAGAAAGAUAAAGACCAAUACAGUAU